ACCCAAAAGAUCGAAUGGGGAGAUUCAUCGUCAGCUUUGUCGGCUUGCGUGCUGCUCGCGAUGCUCGUCUUGGGGCGUUAAUAGCGUUCUUUUGGACGGGCACGCGGUAGCUGCGCAAUUUUGUCCGAUAAAGUCGGCGUGCACUUCUCCCCUAGUAGGACGUCGCGACCCGUUGAGUGUCGAUCUAAGGCCCGCGAGGUUGACUGCCGGUGCUUCAGCGCAAGUUGUCGUCGCCGGUAGACCCGCGGUCGCCCGACCGACUGCUCGGCGGUAUAAAUUGUUGAAAGUUCAAUGGUAUCGAGCCGCAUAAUUUGAAUGCGUUCCUUUUGGCUCGUCGGCAGGUGAGCCUCGCCUCGGAUUUACGGACCUAGUGCCGUUGUCGAGCGAGUCGUUUGCCGUUUCGCCGACGAUGUCCUCGGACGGGCUCUAUAAGGAGAAC
rnacentral:rRNA from 1 species